CCCUUAGAUGUCCUGGGCCGCACGCGCGCUACACUGAUGCAUGCAACGAGUAUAUAACCUUGGCCUGAAAGGCCUGGGUAAUCUUUUGAACGUGCAUCGUGAUAGGGAUAGAUUAUUGCAAUUAUUAAUCUUGAACGAGGAAUUCCUAGUAAACGCGAGUCAUCAGCUCGCAUUGAUUACGUCCCUGCCCUUUGUACACACCGCCCGUCGCACCUACCGAUUGAAUGGUUCGGUGAAGAUCUCGGACUUCGACAUUUGUUCUUCAUUGAACUUAUAUAGUGGGAAGUUAUCUGAACCUCAUCAUUUAGAGGAAGGUGAAGUCGUAACA
rnacentral:rRNA from 1 species